UUAUUUUCUUGUGUUUUGACUUAGGACACCUCUAGUCCUUGGCAGAGGGACUUGAGUAGCUAACCAUGAAAAGUAUUGCUACAGCUGUACAGCCUGGAAAUGAUCUUUUAGUUACUGUGAGAUUUUUCUUGUGGAAGUUAUUUUUUGAAAUUUUACGAGUCAUUGAAGUGGGUUUCAUCUGAAGGGAAGCAAAAGAGUGUUUUGUGAUUAUGAUGAGAUGAGCUCAUGAGGUUUCUUAAGUUGCCAAAAUGUUAGAGAUUGUUGGAAUGAUAAUAAUCUUGCUUAGGAAAAGAUUUUAAAAGGUUUUUCUUCAGGAAUGGUGGGAAACAAUUUAGAGGAAAUAUCUUACUGGGUUAAUAUGCAUGGUUGCUUAGUUAUAAGAAGAUGGGUUGACUGUAACAAGAGCUCAUUGAGAUGCCUUGUAAUGGCGCAAAGACAGUUGUACUCCACUUGCUCAUAGUGUCCUCUUAUUUGAUAAACUUGGGAAGAAGCAAUUGGUGCAUCAUUUCACCUAAAAGGGUGAUUUUCAUUAUUUGGAGGAAUUAAUACACUAACAUUUAUUUAUAUAUGUCAGACAACUUUAAACUGUUUCUUCAAAUUGUAAUGUUACUUUGAUGUGUCUUAUUCUGAAUCAUGGUGCUUUUCCUAUUCUGCAAGCAACCAAGAUGACAACCCUAGGAUGCUGCACCUCUUGUACUGAGGACAAUUAAGAGGAAAAUUUCUCUAGAUUUCUUAACAUGUAAAGUGAACUACGAAUUACUGAAUACUUGAGUCAGAACCUCAAAAGGAGAUCUUUUGAUUGUUCUGCUUCAAAUACUUGUUAUUAUCAUUGAUUCUCUUCUUUGACAAUUUCUGAGAUUAAUUGCCUAAACUGAACAGAUUUCCUGUAUAAAUUGUUUUUAGCUGAUGACAAUUUCCUAUUCUCACUAGGCUGAGUGCGAAGAGUUGCAGCAGAGAGUCGAGUCACUGAACAGUGAAAAUCGUGCACUUAGGGAUGAGCUACAAAAGGUUUCUGAGGAAUGCGAGAAGCUUACAUCCGAAAAUAACUCUAUUAAGGUUGGUAAAAUCACCUUUAAUAUCGCAUUGUAUCUGUCGCUCGCCACUAGUUAUUUCAUGCAACAACUGUUUUCAGCACAGUAUUCUACAUUGUGCUUUCCGUUCUGGAUGUUUAUGUCUCGGUUUAUUAACACGUCUGUUUCCUGGCUGAACCUAUGCCCUCCCCACCCACAAAACUGUUCCAUUGCUGCCUAUGAUGGAUUUGCUGCUGAAACAGGAGGAGUUGACUAGGUUGUGUGGACCAGAGGCAGUAGCUAAAUUAGAGAGCAGUAGCAUCACCCAACUUGAGACAAAUGGUGAUGAAGAUGACCAUUGAGAGAAGUGAUUUCAGAUAAAGUGACUCAGUUUAUAAUUGCCCGGAAAUUAUGCAAAGUACCUGAGAAAUUUAUUACUCUAGGGUUGAUUAGGUAAAGAAUGUUUGGUUUCUACUAAUUAUACAGUUUAACCAUAUCUCAGUUGUAACUGUAUCAUAAUACUGUCGAAUUCCAACAUGAGCUCAGUUUGUGCUCUUUGGUGUACUAGUAGUCAAUUGGAGAAAUAGAAGAAAGAGUAGUUUUUGGGUGAUUCUGUCGUCCAUUUUAAAGUUUUGUUUUCCUAUUUAUAUGCAAUUUGAUAAUGCAAACAACUAUUUCCAGCAUAGUUCGGAUGGGUGGAGACGUUGCAUACUUUGGUUUUAUUAUGUGGUUCUUGAAGGAGAAACUAGACAGCUGCAAGGCUCCUUCACCUGAAGUUCCAAAUGAAAGAGGGUCGUUCGAUUCUGAUUGGACUGUCAAAAACAACUUUGGGUUGAUUCUAGUGGCAAUCUAGUUUAAAGCUGUCUCGGAAUUGCACAUGUCCAUGAGGCUUUGCGACUGAUAGAUUCCGAAGAUUGCCGGUUUUCGUUAAAAGGUCCAAUGCUUUAUGGUGAAAAUGACAGUCAUCUUUUGAGGUGAAUUAUUUAAAAGGAUGUCAGAGGUAUGGUAUGCAAAAGUUUUACAUUCUCUCAACGGAGUGAACAAAUGCAUUCUGAAAUUGAGGAGAGAAAGAAGUUUUGUGAGUUAACAAUAUGCUCGAUGCAAAUUAUGAUAGCAUUCAAGUCUCUGUCAUUUCAUUUAGUGUUGUCUUUAGCAUUUGCAGCUUAUAAAAGUGAAGCGAAGCGAGUGAGUUCUUGCCCUCAGACAUCAGUCGCUCAGUAGCAUAUACGACAGUUCUUGCUGAAAAACUAAAACAGUUAAAGACAGACAAUGCUCAAAGGAAAGCGAAAGAAAGAAACACAAGAAGUAAACCCCACCCUUUGUUUUUACUUUUACAGCCAAAGCACAGGCAUAAGCUAUAUAAGCUGUACCUAAACCACAGGUAAUCCCAAGUUAAAUUACAUUGUACCCUUACGCAAAUUACUAGUUUCAUCACAUGCUUCCUACUUAAUUUAAUCCCCCAUUAUCAGGUUUAAGACUGCCGCUUAUUCUGCUAAAAGCUGUUGCUGUUAUGCUUGCUGCUAAUACCUCCAUGCUGACGUGGCAACGAGGGCCCUCUCAUGCCAGCAAAGCAGCAUCUCCGCCUGUCUCCUCGCCACGUGGAACCCCCUCACCUGUACUCUCCUUAUCAAACACUCGGCUUGGAAGUCAGCAAACUGGCUCAGCGCCACCGGCCUCAGACCGGCCGCCACAAAAGCCUCCCUCCACGGAGCUCCACGGCGGCCGGCCACCCCGACCGCCUCCAGAAUCUUUGGAUAAAUGACAAAACUCUCCAUUUUAUUCAUCCAAUCAUCAGCACCCCCACCACCGUUCGCAGCCUCCAAGGACUCCAACAGCGUCGAGUAAAACUCCAGCCCGUCUAUCAAAGUCUGCCUGAAAGACAUCGUUCCGAACCCGAUCAACCCUUCGCAAUCCAAAUGCACCACGACAUGCGGCGAAACGCGGCGUAGAUCGCUCAAGAAUCCUGUCCCGACGCGGCGAAAAAUAGUUGGAGAUAAAAGAAUAGCAACCUUCUCACCCUCCAUGAAUUUGAUAGCUUUAAAGGAACAAAACUCAAAUGUACGUACUAAAACGAAGUCCAAAUCGAAGCCGAUAUUGAGUUCUCUCGCGAACUGAGAAAGAUUUUCUCUGAUCAACUUAGACUCCAUUGCAUACUCCUCUCCGACCACAGCGGUAAUCCUGAGAACCGGCGGGGCUGCUUUGCGCAACUCGGCUUUAUCAGCUAGCUCUUUCAUGAAGGAAGCCCAGUGGCCUCCGAGGCCGAUGUCGAAGUCGAUGACGUGGAUGAGCAUGGAGCCAUCAACAGCUUCGAGGACGGCUUGGUUGGCCGUGAAGCUGGAGAACAUGGGUACAGGGGAGAUGUUGGAGAAGGCCUUAUGGGCUUUGAUGCUCUGGAUAACCUCGGAAGAAGUGGAUGGCUGAGUUAGACGGGUUGACCCGGUGAGUAGGGUUUGCAGAGCUUCCUUGAAGUAGAAGGCAGCUCGUUGGAGUGGCUUCCCUGUUGGACCUCGGAGGCGCUGGUUGAGCCGUCCCAGUAUCACGUGAGUCAGGUGAAGCGAGUUGGUCUCAAAGCACUCGGCGAGUCGGAUGAGUUCAUCGACGUAAUCAAACCCUGGAUUCCAGGUGAGAUUGGUAUUGUGAUGAUGAGCAUCAUGAGAGAGCCCGAGAGAGUUGAUGGAGCUAUCGUUGAAAGACGACGGGUACGUAGAGAUAUCGGGGAGGGUGAUGUCGGAAGGGACAAAGAGAGUAGAAUCAAAGGAGUUAUGAGUCGGGGGAAACUCGGGAAGAUUUUGGAACUGAACUUGAGACCCGCUUGGUGUGAACUGGGAAUGACUAAAGGUAGUAGGUCUGGAAGUGGGGGUUGGAUUAGAAUCUUCAUGCAAGCCCAAUUCUCUCAUCAAAGAAUCCCAGUCUACUUCGAAAUGAUUCAGCACAUGAUCCUCCAGCUGAAGACCUGUGUCGUCCCAGACGGUGGAAAUAUCGGUAUUUGAGGACGGAAUUUCGGUGACCGGACUCGGACUUUGUCGGAGCUCGAGAACUGAUUUUGGCUCGUAGCCCAGAAAAGUGUUGCUGUUGAUGGAGGUGGUGGUGGUGGUGGUGCGGAGGUCGUUGUUGUUGUCGUUGCAAUUCACUUGUUUCGUUGAGUUCAAUAUUGAUGGUUGAUUUUGAAUAAAGGGCACUUUCAUUUCUCGGUAAGAAGAAGAGGAUAAUAAAAGUCACCAAGAACGCCUAAGUAAGAAAAUAAAUCUCUCUUUCUCCCUCUCUAUAUAUACUAUAAGAUAUCUGUACGGCUCUGUUUAGCCUGUACUAUGUGUGUUUGUUUGGUUGGCUUGUUCAGUUUUUGUAAUGUUGAAGUUAGAAAUGUGUGGGAAAAAUGAAGAGCUAGAGGGAAGGAGGGGGGGGGGGCUUUUGGAGGUUAUGAUUGUGGGCUUUUUAUAAACUAUCUUUGUUUGUUUGCGUGCGGUCGUGGGUGCAUGAGAAGUAUGGGAUGAUGAGGGUUAUGGGGUGGGAUAGAGAUGAGAGAAUGUUGGAUUGAUAUUGGAGUGGGAGUGGAGAGUCAUGGAAGGCAUAACAGACAUGUAUAUGUGGACAAUACAUGAAGAAAAGGGACACGAGUCAGAAGAUUGAUGAGGGAGUUGAUUGGAUUGAUCUAUCUUUCGGAAGCUUCUUGUUCAAGCCUCCAAAGCCAUUGUAUACUCUUUUGAAGUUGAGGAGGUGAUGAGUAACCUUUUUUUGAUUCUCGGCGUUCAGAUUUUAACUUGGUUUUUCCUCUACUUUUGCUUUCUAACUUAUCUUUAUGGUUUCUGGCUCUGGCAAUAGGCCUUUCUUGUGGUGCAAUGUCAUUUACUAGUAUUUUCUUGACGUAGAAAGGGCUGUCACGCCUUUGCAUUACACUACUAGUAGUAGUAUUUAGAACCAGUGGUUGUGUAUACUCCACGGAAGGAAAAACAACUGAAAAGGAAGAGUUGAUGGCUCUUUCUGUUUCUGGCUUCCAUCCUGUCAAUUCGAGAAAGGCAUAUGUUUUAGUGGAGGUCCGGCUGUAUUGAUGGUCUGGCAUAUGGGAGCUGAAAUGGGCUGCGAAAAUUGCUAAAAAAGAACAAGAAGAACUUGAGUUGUUGAUUUAUUGUUGGCGUUUUUGACUUCUCUAAAGAGCAUUGUACAACGAUGGAAUUCCGAAACUAUUUAAGAUGAACUAGCAGCUGCUUCGUUUUUGUUUAAUAAAGUGCUAAUAAACAAGGGUGAUGCACAUAGCUAGCCAGAGACAAUUGAAUCCAGAAGCCAAUUCUCGAAAUUGUUGGUUUUGUUCAUCGUUUAGCUGACCUUCUUCUUAGUCCUUUUUGGACUUUUGAGGAUCCUGAAUGUCUCCCAGUGGCCAGUGACCGCAUCUUGCACACUUCUCCUUACUUUCUGCGAGGGUAAUUCACUAUUCUCACUCUUUUCUUUCCUUUUUUUUUUUUGGGUUGUGGAGAAAAUAAUAUAAUAGGGUUGUCUAUUCUAUUUGGCUUUUAAUUUGUCUAAUUUUACAGUAAUCACUGACUGUUAUUUCCAGGUGAAAGACUAUUCAACAGAAGAGGACUUAUAAGUCAAGAUGUUUGCGGAAAAAGUCUGCUCUGCAGUUGUGACUUGAGACUCCACUUUGGAAGUCCCACUCCAGUGCCUAACGAAGGUUCCGCACUCAAAAACUCAAUCAAAAGUAGUAGUGUUAGCGGAAGCAAAUCACAGAGACCACCGCCCAAAAAUUAUAAACUUUACCUGCAGCCUCCGUGCCAACUUACAACUUACGCAGACUAAUUGCAUUAUGGGCAGUGGGAACCUCUGGACUGGAAGAAACCCUGCCUGAAAAGUCCAACCCCAUGACUUGACCCAAUCCCCCGCACCCCAAAGGUUGCCUAACCAUACAUUGUACAAUGCGAACCACCCCCAGCUUUAGCUCUGUGAUUACCAGAAAGGAAUUACAUCCCUUUUUGAACUGCAGAUCAAGGUUUGAAUCCUACUUAUGGUUAAAAAAAUUUCGGUAUCAUUUAAAACUUUGGUCUAGCCCGAUCUAUAUAGUCCCUGAUACAGCAAUUUUUUUAGACUUUCCUUACUACCUGUAGAUAGUUUCUUUAAAAAAAGCUUUUCCUUCCCUGUAGAUAAUUUCUUUAAACUUCCUCUUCUUGUAAAACAAAAUAGAUUGCGUUAUUGGAAUCCUUCUUUAAAUUUUCCCUUUUUUAGAAUAAAACAGAUUAAAUUAUAGGAAUGUUAUUGUAGCCAAAAAAAAAAAAAAAGAGACAAAAUAUACAUUGUAUAAUGCAGAUUACUCGCUCCACAAGCAAUUCACCGUUACAAGGUAUCGAUUAUGCUCUUUUAGACGCUCUGUUUUUCACCUCUCAUCGACUUCUAAUAGCAAAAGAAAAUGCUACUAUCCUAUUUGUCGGAACUUAAGAAUUUGGUAUACAAUGCAAACUAGUUCAUUAUUGAUCACUAUAUAUUAUUUUUACUAGUUUAGGAUAGAAUACAACGUCCAUUUACAAAGCCAAAGAUUUGGGGGAUGUGGAAUGGAACAGAAUUUGAACUUUACUAGUAAUUAAUCAAAAGUCUGAACACUUUUUCUUUGCGCUGGCUUUCCAUUUCUUUUUGACGGUGAGUUGUCUUUGAUUCCAUGCCGAUCGAAAUUCUAUUUCCUAGUGACUCCGGACACAUGCAGAGAUCCUAGUGGCUAUCACUAAUUUUUUUUUUUUUUUUUUGGAAAUUUAAUGUAGACUACUUACCUCAGACUUGAGAUGAUCCGUGAGAUCAUCCUUGCCUUUCUCUAGAACAAGAACAAAUCUUUCCUCAUUAAUUUCUUAAAACAACUGCAGGAGGAUCUUGCAUGCAUGCGUUCUUUUGUGAAUCGCAUGCAUGCUAUCAGGUCAAGGUUAAUAAAUGAUGGGCGCGGAGAAUAAAGAGUCGGUAGCAUGAGCAAAAACAGGAGAAGCACACCUCCGGUCAAAUUUGUUAAUUAAUGCCUGAAAGUGUGUUCGUGAUUCACCGAUUGCUCAGGUAAAUUAAAAAGAAGUGGCUUUGGGGAAUGGAACCAUUUUGAAGUGUCGUAGGAUUCAGAGAAGAAAAGAUCAAGAUUCGGGAGAUCAAACGUAGAUCGUUGGAUGAUACUGGACAUUUAGCAUCUAAGAAUUUGUGUGUGUGUGAGACGAUCAGACGCAAUUAUGCAGACAUACUCACUCAAUCCUCUUGAUGGAGGAGGAGGUACCUAUAUUCCAAAACCUGAAAAAAAGCCAUUUAUGAGGAAAGCUAAGCUUCUUCUGAUAUAUUCCUUUUGACAUAAUUCAAGAAAAGAUGACCUCUCCCCAUGACAGAGACUAAACAUUGACCUGAUUGGCCUCACCUGACCCUACCAAAUUGGACCCAUUUGCUUCUUUUGUCUGCAAUGCCAUGCUGAUCCAUCGCGUAUAUGUUCUAUAUAUGAUUGUAAUCCGGCCCCUCAACUUCUCACUUCUUCCCCUGCAAUUACUCUGCUCAGAAGAAAUCCUGAUCAAAUUGCCCAAAGGGGAUGUGGAAAGCAACUAAAUCUGGCGGCUAAGACAGGGAAUAUGUUCUGCUGGUUAUAAUGCAAUUAACAAACACACCCCACCCAUGACUCUUCCUCCUCCUAACUAUAUCUGGACCUUCGUUUUUGCUUUGAACUUUAGUGGAAAAGCACGCAUGAACAAAAGAUGGUUAGAGGUCUUUCUUUAACAAGUAGAAAUUGUUUUAAAAUUGCGUAAAGGCCAAAAAAAAAUUGUAGUAUAUGCUGCAAUAUUUAAAAAGUUGUCUUGUCUUAAUCAAACCAAUGUGUUUCAUUAGCAAUUCUUGCCAUCUCAUCUUUCAGAUUUUACUUUCAAUAUAUUAAUAGAAUAUCGUUGAUUUGAAGUGUGAACACUGAUGUUAUUAGAGUAUAUAAUUAAGAAUUAUAACACAAGCUAGCUUUGAAGAUUAUCAUGCUCAACUUUUCUUCCAAUAAUUACCUUUCUGUGUCACCCAGAAACAACUAGCUAACCCCUUUUCCAGUUGCUUCAUACAUUGGCCUACCUACAAACAAUUGCCGAAAGCCAGCCAGCUCAAGAAGACAACAGCACAUACUCUAUAUGUUUUUCUCUUCUCUCUCUCUUUUUUUUUUUUUGGGUCUGUAUAUGUUAUGUUUAAUAGCUUAAUAAUUAAUGCAUCUAUAUAUGUAUGUGUUUUUAGUUACCAGAAUCAUCGGUCACAAGUUUUAGUUACGACAAAAAUUAAAUGGACCGCGAGAUGUUCCAGAAAAAAAAAAUUUAAUAGCAUAAAGAUAAAGUAGAACUUGCGAUUAUGAUUUUGAUUCUGAUAACUCAAAUCCUCCAGACCUCUGGUGUCCUUAUCAAGAAGAAGGUCAAACCGUAGCCUUUCUGCGCGCAGUUUCUUUAGUUUGAAACGGCACCAACAUUUUGAGCACAUUCAAAGGACUGUGUGCACGAACAAUUUGCUACUUGUUUUGGGCUUCUUCUUCUUCCUCCUCCUCCUCCUCUUUGUUUUAAUUUUUUUUUUUAAAAUUUUUUUUUUUGAUUUGGGAGGGCGGGGGCAGGACUCAGGAGUUUGCUAGUAUUACAUAUGCAUUCCUGUUGGUUGGGGAAAUGCUAGUUCUUACUAAUCACUCUUUUAUUUGAAGGUGAAGUGUGGAGAAUUUUCUGCGGGUACAUACAUGCAGUUUUCAUAUUCGAAUAAGCAGCAGAUUGAAGAGCCAAAAUGUUGAGGAUCGAUGGACUUGGAAACUGCAGCUUGGCCUGCUAUUGCUAUAGGACAUGCUAUUGCUGCACAAAGUUACGAAAGAAAGAAGCAAUGCGACAUUUCAUUGUGAUAGUGAUUUAAGCAUCUAUCAUUUGGAAUAUAUGUCAAAAAUUACACCAACUUUAUAACUAUGACGUAAUGGCAGCUACCCGAUAGCAAUAUUCUCCUCUCAAGUUAACUGAUAAUUAGCAAGGAAACCCCACCCCACCCCACCCCACCCCCACCCCAUUGCAUGUUAUAUGUUAUUCACAGCCAAAUGAUUGCAAUCAGAAAUCACAUCUUUUUUUCCUUUCUUCAACCAAAUAUUAAUGGCUGGCUUUAAAGCUGAUAACAUAAUAAUUAAACCUAUAUAUUCUGACAAAUUUUUUUUUUUUUGGUGUUGGUGCAUUCGCUAAAUGAUUGAUCAUCAUCAUGUCAGAAUUGAGCGUCUAGCUAGGAACUUCCUUCAAAAAUGUUUCCGCUCAUUCAAGAUCACUUGCCAAAUCUGUUGUUGGUCAAGAAAACUCGAAAUUAAUCCACCAUAUGGGAGACACAAAGAAUACAAAUGCCCUCCAAUAAUACGACCAAAGUCAAGUACUUAGGAGCUAAGUUUCUAACAAGUACACGGGACACACGCGGUGGAAAAGAAAGGAGGAACGGAGCCUUGUAGGUCACAAAAGAUGGUUGGGUUGAGAUUCUGAUCGGCACCAUUCAUGUAAAGAUUAAUUAUUGUCACUCACCACCAUUUAGCCAACUCCCACACAAAAGAAAAUAAAAAAUUUUUUUUUAAAAAAAAUAAAAAAUAAAAAAAAUAAAAAUAAAGAAAAAGGGGGCAAAGCUAGCCAAAAAGAGUUGAAACAGCGGAGUGGAGGUGGAUUGGCCAUGACAUUAGGGUAUCUAUCCAUCUCCUUCUUCUAUCCCUGCUGUCCUUCCAAUAAGCAAGCACCAUGCAUGGAACCAGCGCCAUACGCUUGCUUUUUUUUUUUUUUUUUUUUUUUUUUAUGCAUGGUUACGAGCGAAACGAGUGAUGGUGGUCCAAUCGCUUAUAUAUACCAGAUGGUACUACUACUACUAGUAGUAUAAUACUGCUCUACUGAUACGAAUAUAUGAUCAUCGAUUCUCCGGAUAUGUUAAUUUCACUUUGAAAAUACCUUUGAUUCAAAUAGUUUUCUUUCUUUCUUUCCGAGCUGUGACCACUAUGAUCGUUAAUUUGUAGUUUAUGGGCAGCGAUUCCAUCAUAUUUCACAUGUGGCGUUUGGCAUCUCUCUUCCCCCUCAACUUGCACUUGAAUGGUGCAAAUCAAUGCAUAUUUAUAAGUCCCCACCUUCAAAUAAUUGGCUCGGCAUAUUUUCAAUGGUAUUCCGCAAAACCCUAAAACGUAGCCACCAUAAAUGUCAUGAUAUAUGAUGCUCUUUGGAUCCUUUUUGCUCGAGGAAACACGAAGGGAUGUGAUUCAGGCUAGGCUGGGCUGGGCAAUUGUAAACACGCUUUCCUGUCAAAAUUUGGCUAUUUUAUCCGUAAAUCAUCUUGAUCAAUUAAUUUGCUUGAAUUUUCUGGCAAAUGGUAUCGUCACAAUCUAAUUUUAUUUCCACAUUGAAAUGGCAAAAUCACCUACUUUAUGACCAAAUUGUUUCUUGGAGUUUUUUUUUUUUUGGCUCAAAAAAAAAAAGAAUGAAAUUUAAGAAGAUGAGAGGGAAAAGAAAAUUUAAAUUCGUGACCUCUAUGUCGUCUUGAGAGACGCCUCUCUUCGCCGGAGUUGAGAAAAUUGAGAAAAGGAACUUGGGUAUUCAUUUCCGUGCCUGUGGAAAUAAAAUUUGAACUGGGUCAUUAAUGGCAGCGAGUUUUCUAGCUGUAAUGGGGCUGAAGCCCAAAUUGUAACAUUUUUGAUUGCAGAUACGGAGGGAAGGCUGUGCAUCAGUGGUGGCGGUUGCACAAUGGAAGCAACCCAACUAAAUUCGCGGACCGUUGAUGCAAUGAAGUCCAAAAACCAACGUAAGUAAAUCUUCCUUUGGGCCGGAUAGAGGCAUUCAUUUUGUCUUCUUAUCCAGCUGAAUGAAGUUACUUAGACCCAAAAGAGACUGCUAGCGCGACAGCGUCCGUACACAGACACAAACCAAGAGAAACGGAAGCUGCGAGACUGUGAAGGUGCCAAGAAACCUCGUCGGUCAUCAUUUUAUGGAGCUUUCACCCCCUCCAGCAUGCACGUCUGAAUGGCGAAGCCACGUAGAUUUGUCGCCUUCUUCGUCAUGUCCCCCCUUUUUAUUCAUUCAACGCCACCUCUUCCAAGCUUACACUUUCGUCAUCUUGCUCAGAAAAUGUCUCAGAAAAUUUUUAUGAUCUCGCCAUUUUCGUUCUUCAUAUGCUUAAUCUUAGUUUUAUGUUUCACCUGUAUAAAUGUGGGAGCUGCUUCCGAUGAGGAGAGUGAAUCCUAUUUGGGAUCUUUGGUGAAGAAGAAAGAUGAACGGAAGCUAAUUUCUUCGAGUGAAUAUGGAGAGAUAUCAGGGGUUAGUGUUAGAGAGCGGACGGAUUUGUCGUAUCACCUUCAGUUCAUCACCUUGAAGCCAUUUGCUCUUUUCCUCCCCGUUGUAUUACAUGCAAAUAUGGUUUUCUAUGCGCAAACAGGUAAGCAAAACAAGAGCCUAGAGUUUAUCCAAUUAAAUCUUCAUUGUAUGUUGCGGUCUUUAAAAGGACUCGUACUAUUGCUAAUUUUUGGUGCAUUAUUAAGUUACUAUAUAUUGGUGUGUGAAACAUGGGAUGUGGUGAUUCAGAUUCAUCAGGCCAUGAAUUCAGAAUUUCUCUUUUUCCCCACAAUGUUGAAGUCGUGGCCUAAAACUUUGCCAUGAAAUAUGAGAGUGUUGCAGGUUCUGGGAAGCUGAGUUACACUACCGAAGCGGGCCGCAUGCUGACAAAGACGUUGAGACAAGGAGAUACUUUGGAACUCAAUCCAGGGACUAUUUUCUUCAUGGAGGCCAUCCACUGUGUGGACGAACUAAGAGUUUACGCUAUCUUUGGUAAUUUGAGGGAACAUUUCCGCGUAAGAACUUUCAACGCCCCUGAAUUUGUUUCUUUUAUCUUAUACUAAUUUGUAACUCUUCAGUUGGGUUUCCAUAGGGACCGGCAACGACAGCACCAUACUCUAGUUUCCGCCACCUGAUCCUCGGCUUUGAUAAAAUGAUUCUGCAACUAACCUUCAAGGUACAUCAGAAUUUGGGUUUAUUUAGUGGGUGUAAUUGCCUCCUUCCCAGUUAACUAGCAUGUUUGGCUUGAUUUAGGAAAAGAGACAGUAUGCGGUUUGGAUUAAGGGCUUCGAUCUUGUUAAAUGAAUUUAGUGAUGCAAAAUUGUGUUUGAAGGUGCCUGAAGAUGUGAUUAAAGAGAUAAUGAAUAAACCGAACCCACCGGCCAUUGUUUCCAGCGUCUCGGGAACAAUGGAAAAAUUAUGGGAUUUGGAAGCUCGUUUCAUUAAAGAAUUAACAAGAAGCACGGGGCCCAACCUCCUCAACAUGCUUGGCUUAGAACGAGAUUGUGGGAACCAUAAUGGGUGGAGAACAACAUCAAACAAGAAAAAGCUCCCAGAUUUCAAAGGUUUCAAAGGUUCCAACUUUGGUGUUUCCGUAACAAAUUUGACCAGAGUAAGCGUGGCUACAGUCAGUUAGCUCUUAAUUGGCUCCCUGCAUUAUGCUGCAAUGCCUCAAAUAACUAAUUAUUUAAAUCAUCAACAAUUGACACAUAUGAUGAUUGACUCGAAUGUUUAUCUGACAAAAUGGAAAAUUCCAGGGAUCGAUGGUGGCGCCGCACUGGAAUCAAAUGGCGACUGAGAUAGUAAUUGUUUUACAAGGAAAAGGAAUUGUUCUAGUGGUUUGUUCUAGCAUUUUUGCUAAACAAAAUGAAUGCAAAAACAUGAGGUUUCAAGUGGGAGAAGGUGAUGUGUUUGUCGUGCCAAGGUUCCAUCCUACAGCUCAAAUGUCUUUCAGUGAUGAAACAUUUGUUUUCAUGAGAUUUAGUACCACAAGAAAGAAAAUUAGCCAUCAAUAUCUGGUUGGUAAAACUUCCAUUUUCAAGACCUUAGGCAAACGUAUAUUGGCAGCAUCACUGGGUGUUAAUGAAACAAUAGCAGACAUGGUUAUGGCUUCACAGAGGGACUCCGUAGUCUUGGAUUGUAAUUUGUGUGCAGAGGAAGAAUUAAGGAUGAUGGAGGAGGAAAUAGAAAAGGCAAAACAGACGGAACCAGAGACCCCAGAAGCAGAAGUAGAAGCUGGAGAAGGAACUGAAAAACCAGAAGAAGAAUCAGGGGAAGGGAAAGAUCGACCAGAGAAACCAGAAGCUAGAGCCAGGGAAUAUAAAAAUGAAGUCACAAUCAAAGAAAAGAGAUGAGCAUAGGCUUGAAAGGGAUGUAAUUCAAACUCAAUAUUCAGCUUUUGUUGUUAAUCAGAUUUGCAUUGCUGAAGUAAUUAGUGUUUAUUUCUAUGUACAAUUGCCGAUUUUUCACACAGAGAAGGUUGGUGGCAUUUGGGGGUGUGGUAUUGUUCUGCAUGGCAGACGACUCCUAGGACUCGUAUUUCAGUAUGGUAUAUAUCUAGGAGCUGAGUAGCCUUUCCAAUUUCUUAAUCACGCACGCGCGUAGCAAUAUCAUAAAAUUGACCAAAUCAUCAUCUACUUGUAUUUCUGCAUAAACUGAUCUAAUAUCUUUCGUAACUUUAUCAGAGUAUAACAUUUUGUGAAUCAUAGAGGAAUGCAAAACUAAUUAUUUCAGCUCCAUUCUUGCCUUUGACUUUCAUCUCGUAGUCAACUUAUCAGCAAAUUUACGGAAAUAAUGUGCAAAUGACAAUGAAGAGAAUCCAGCAGUGAAGUGCUGCAUUAGCAUUUAUAUCCAUGUUAUGCAGAUACCCUUAAAUGUGUUUGAAAUUUCAAAACUUUGCCCUUCCAAUUUGUAGGUUCAUGAGCAGCUGGGGGAUUUCACAAAUCUUAGAAGGGAAAGGAGAAAGAAAAGAGAGUCAAAUAAAAAAAAUCUCAGAAUCACAUAACUUAUGUUCCUGCCACCCAAAUUGAGUUUUCAGGACGGAUGAUUAUUAAUUUUUCUGUAAAAAUAGAACGCAGCCCCCAUUUUGCAGGUUGCUCUUUGUAAUAUACCUCGAAAGAAUGGAAAUGGAAGUAUGGCCCUUUUUUUUUUUUUUUAAUUUUAAUAGAAAUACCCCAUUAUCUACAAUGGUCAUGAAUUGACCAUUGCAUAGAAAAGUUCAAGAUCAUUGCAUCAUUAGCCUACUCAAAAUCGGCGCUCUCGCCUGAAGACAAGUUUGAAUAAAAACCACCCAGCUACGGCUAAGGUCUCAUGCAUUUUUGCAUGAAUGUUUCAACAUGUUCAACACGAACAGCUGCCUCGUGGCACCUUCAAAUUGCCCCGUGUCCAUGCAAAAGCCACGUCGCUUCUCUAAUCCCUGUUUCCAAUUCCCCCUCCCCCUCCCCUAUAAAACCACCGGUUCUGACCAGCUCCUUUCUUCACUUCUCAUUAGUCCAAAAAUUUCAAAAAUGUCCACCGAAAAAUUGUUGUCAGCAUCUUCAAUUUCGCUCUUAGGCUUUGGUUUAUGCUUAUUUCUCUGCGUGCAUGCUACCGCUGGGGAAGAUGGUCAGACUGUCCCCGGAGCAGGACAUUUAGUAAAGAAAGGCGAAAGGCAGCCAAUAAUCUCAACUGGAUUUGGAGAGGUCUCGGGAGUUAGAGUUAGCGAUGGAAACGAGACUUUUAAUAUUCACCUCAUCACCUUGGAGCCCAACUCCUUGUUUCUGCCUGUUAUGCUGCAUCAAGACAUGGUGUUCUACGUUCAUACAGGUAAUUUUAUUAUUAUUAUUUUUGUUUAAAGGUGCUUGGACUCGGGCUGAACCUUCAAUUCCUUGAAUUCAGCUGUAUCUAAUUAGUCUGAUAGUGUCUAUAUUAUCAAGAACAAGAAAUCACCAGUAGUGACUUGUCUUAAUCAUUGAAUUUUGUCAAAUUUUGCGGAGUUCAUCCUGCUGUUUGUGUACAGGGAGCGGAAAUCUGAGCUACAGAGAUGAAAAUAAAAGAGAGAAUACGACCAUAAGACGAGGAGAUGUUUUUCGUCUGGGAUCAGGAAGCGUUUUCUUCAUACAGAGCGACGUAGGUCUGGAGAGACAGAAGCUAAGAAUUUAUGCCAUAUUUGGCAAUGCAGGGGAGGACUUGAGAGUAAGAGACUAAGAGCACUAUUUUUGUCAUUUCACUGAUUUUGUCAAUUGACAAUGGAUGCCUUCAGUUUUCAUACGUGAGUGACCAUGACCAUGAAUAUUGCACUAUCUAAACUUCUUGAUCUUAGGAACCGACUGAAUACGGACCAUACUCGAGCGUUCGCGACUUGGUUCUUGGAUUUGAUAAGAAAAUUCUCCAGGAGACCUUCAAGGUAUGUUAUCUAAUCUAGCAUGUGGUAAAAAGAGUAAAGAGAGACAGGACUGUUUCUUGAAAUCCCUCAUUUUGGGUUGUAACCCCUGGUGCAAAAUGGUACUCAAGGUUCCUGAAGAAGUGAUAGAGGAAAUGACAAGCGGAAGGAAGCCGGAAGCAAUAGUUCGUGGAUUGCCGGGCACUCAGGAAAAAACCAUACGGGAGAGGGAGUAUCAGUUCAUCGAAGCCGUGUUUGGAAGCACAAGUAUUUUCAGCAUUUUCGAAACCAGCAACAAAGACAAGAAGAAGUCCAAAAAAUUCAACAUAUUCCAAGAAAAACCAGAUUUUGAGAAUUGCAACGGGUGGAGCACAACAGUUACCCGGAAAAAGUAUUCCGUCCUGAAGGGCUCCAAAUAUGGCCUUUUCAUGGUGAACUUGACCCGCGUGAGUUUUUAAUCUGAGUUUGCCUGAAAUUUGUAGCUUGCAGUUAGCAAUAUGCAAGAAUGUGCUACUUACCAUACAAAAUUUUCCCACUCUGUUCUGGGUCUGUGCUAGUAACGUAGUAGCCAUUAGUAAAUAGGUGAUUGCUGAUGGGCUUUAUUUUACUUUUUUUUUUUUUUCUAGGGAGGAAUGAUGGGUCCUCACUGGAAUCCCGAGGCAACGGAGAUAGCAGUAGUACUGCAAGGGAAGGGGAUGGUUCGGGUAGUUUGCCCAAGUCUACCGAACAAAGCAGAGUGCAAAAACGCGAGGUUUGGGGUUGAAGAAGGCGACAUUUUCGCCGUGCAGAGGUUCCAUCCCAUGGCGCAGAUGGCUUUCAACAACGAAACGCUCGUUUUCGUUGGUUUCAGUACAUCAACGGAGAACAAUCACCCACAGUAUCUAGCAGGGAAGGCAUCAGUCCUCAGGACUUUGGACAAGCACAUCCUGGCAGCAUCAUUUGGAAUAAAUGAAACUACCUUCGACAGGCUUGUGAAUCAACAACGCGAAUCGGUUAUCUUAGAAUGCACCUCCUGCGCAGAGGAAGAAUGGAGGAUAAUGGAGGAAGAGAUUGAGAGGGAAAGAGAGGAGGCAAGGCAGAGGGAAGAGGAGGCAAGGAAGAGGGAUGAAGAGAGGAAAAGACAGGAAGAGGAAGCUGAGACGAGAGAAGAGGAGGAGGCAGCUAGGGAGAGAGCAGAGGAGGAAAGGAAGAAGAGAGAGCAAGAAGAAGAGGAAGAGGCGGCACGGAGAAAGAGAGAGGAAGAGGCAGCACGAGAAAGGAGGGAACAAGAGGAAAGAGAACAAGAAGCAGCACAGAUGGAAGAGAAAGAAAGGGAAGCAGCUAAGCGAGAGGAAGAAGAAGCAGCACAAAGAAGACAAGAAGAAGCUGGCCAGGGAGAAGGAGGGCGCCCACACGAAGGGGGCAGGGAAGCACGGCCGCCGGAGGAAGACGGAAGAGGAGGAGUAGGAGCCAGGCAGGAGGAGGAAACUGCAAAGCAACAAGAAAAAGAAAUGGGACAAGAGGAGGAGCAGGGCAAUGGCCAAGGAUGGGGAAGAAGAAUCCUUAAAAAUGCUUCUUGACUGUGUCUAGUAAUGCUCAAAAGUAGACGUUUCCAGUGAGCAUAAAGCUGAAUAAGCAGUUUUGUUU
rnacentral:lncRNA from 1 species